GACUGUGCACGAAGUUGGAGCAGCGAGGCCAGAGAGAGGGGCAUUAGUACCCGGAGCUGGCCGAGUUUCGUGACCCGGACUACGGCAGAGCCUACUUCUAGGGACCUCCAGACAGUCCUGGCGGUGGCCAUGAACUUGACCCCGUGCUCCUCCUGCCUGCAUCGCCCCGGGGCUCCGGUUGACCUGAAAAGACUCCAGACCUAUCUUGGCCCCAGAGCUCUGUUCAGUCAACGCCCAUGAUGGUCAGAUGCCAUAAGGGAGACAGGAUGCAGGAAGCGGGUCUGAACUUGAACUUUGUUCCUAUCCCAGGUGAACACUCAAAGCUGGCUUGCAGCUCCUCUGAAGGGCACAUUGUCAGCAAUGAUUGAAGUGGCAUCUUACCCAGGAGCGGCUGCAGGCUCGAGCUGCCAGGGUUCCCGGCCAGCUUUCUAAAACACCAUUAUUCUUGGACAUGCAAGUCGAACGAGUGAAAACCUGAAUUCUCCCCACCCCCACGAUCAUCCUGCUUGUUUUAACUAGAUUAAGUGCAUCUGUUUACUAAGUCUUCAUAAUGUCCUGGGUACUGAAGAUUUAACGCCAUUAAACGUGCCUUUGUGGAAAGAGGCAAAUCGAAA
rnacentral:lncRNA from 1 species